rnacentral:rRNA from 1 species
UAUUGUACAAUGGCGGCAACCCUGAACCAGCCAUCCCCCGUGUCUGAAGAAGGACUUCGGAUUGCAUAGCACUCUAUGUUGUGCGCAAGGCCUUUAUGUUAAUACCCUGUAGCCUUGACGUUACCCACAGAUUACGCACCGGCUAACUACUUGCCAGCAGCCGCGGUAAUACAUAGGGUGCAAGCGUUAAUCGGAAUUACUGGUCGUUAAGCGAGCGUAGGUAGUUCGGUAAGAUAGGUGUGAAAUCCCCGGGCUUAACCUGGGAACUGCUUUCAUAACAGCUGAGCUAGAGUAAGGUAGAGGGUAGUGGGAUUUCCUGUGUAGCGGUGAAAUGAGUAGGUAUAGGAAGGAACACCAAUGGCGAAGGCGACUACCUGGACUGAUACUGACACUGAGGUGCGAGAGCGUGGGGAGCAAAC